AGUGAACGCUGGCGGCGUGCCUAACACAUGCAAGUCGAACGGACGAAGAGAGCUUGCUCUCCUAGUUAGUGGCGCACGGGUGAGUAACACGUAGCUAACCUGCCCCAUAGUAAGGGACAACAGUUGGAAACGACUGCUAAUACCUUAUACUCCUUCUCUACCUAAGUAGAGUCGGGAAAGUGUUUUCGCUAUGGGAUGGGGCUGCGGCCUAUCAGCUUGUUGGGGAGGUAAUGGCUCACCAAGGCUAUGACGGGUAGCUGGUCUGGGAGGAUGAUCAGCCACAUUGGUACUGAGACACGGUCCAAACUCCUACGGGAGGCAGCAGUGGGGAAUUUUACACAAUGGGCGAAAGCCUGAUGUAGCAACGCCGCGUGGAGGAUGAAGGAUUUAGGUUCGUAAACUCCUUUUAUAAGGGAAGAAAUUUGACGGUACCUUAUGAAUAAGCACCGGCUAACUCCGUGCCAGCCGCCGCGGUAA
rnacentral:rRNA from 1 species